UGUUUCAUGCAUGUGUCCAAAGAUUCGAUAGGAUGGAUGAAAAAAUUUUAGUUGGGUAACUAAACAGGGCUUAAGACGAAUGCCUUAGAACUCCUUGAUAGUAUGGCCAAAAAAAUUAAUGCACACUACAACAAAUAUCUCAAGCUUGCUUCGGUCCCAUUAGCUCUAUAGUGUCAUUAUUUUUCAAGAAUAUCAUUUGCGCCAUACGUCAAUCAUCGAUCCAAAUCUUUGGGGCUAAGGCACUUGUGGCCUGUGACUAACUCAUAAUGUGUAUCCCGCUGCAAAGCACACGUUAUUCACCACACUUGUGUUAGUCAAUCACCAAAACCACCAAGAUACCACAUUAGGGCCUAAAUGUGUGCACCAUUGAAUCAUCAGGUGGCACAUACGAAGGAAUUUUGUGAAGUCUAUGAGGGCCAUCCAAGCCUAAAGUGCAAGUUGGGAGAGUAUUCUUAUUGUUUACCUAGUGUUCUCGACUUAAAUUUUCCUCAAUAUGCUAUUCAAGGUUUGUUACUCUUGGUAUUUUGUGGCACCUAGACAGUCCAACAAAAGAUUAGGUGACAUUCCCCGUGAAGUUUCUUAUGGGUAGGCUUCAAUUGGUGUUUAGUUUGACCCACCAUUCCAGAGUGGAGAAGGGGUAUUCACUAGUGGAGCUUUAAGACUUCAUGACUCAAUGGGGAACAAAACUGACUCUUGGUGACUCUUUGGUGCUCCAACAUGGAUUAGGGUGGCAUGGAUUAUGUGCUCCAAUGUGGUACAAGGGUAGAGAAUUCGGUUGUCACUUUACCUUUCUUUCAUUCUUGCAUUACUUUCAUGCCAUAGCUUUCUACUUUACUUUUGUUUUGUGCAAGUUUAAUUGUGUGAAAACUAGGAUUCCAUGAUAGAGUGUGUUACUAAGAGCCUUAUUCUUAGUGCUAACUUUACUAAGGACAUAUUGGCUUGAUGGCCCUAAGGACUAGGAGUCUCCUUUAUAGUCUUUUAUUGUUCUAGGAGUCUCCUUGCAAGUGGUUGAGUAUAAUUGCAUAGGCUAAGGUUUGUUUGCACUUAACUUUUUAGAGCCCAAUUGACCCUGCCCUCCCCUCUUGCCUCUUAGGCCAUUCGAACAAAAGGUUUAUAGUCAAUCCAUGUGGGCCCAAUCACUUGAAUAUGGCUUUAUCUAAGUAUGUAUUUCUCAAACAUAUAUUGUUUUGUCUCUUUGUUCAAACUAUGCCUGGGUGUACCAUGCUUAAAACUACACCGCAAUGAAAAUGAAGAAGACCUAGGAAUUUUUUUCACCAAUUACAAAUCAAAGCUCAGUUGUUCCAAUGGUUAAUAGAGGGAGAAAAGGAUGCUUUGACAUGACUCCCCUAAGGAGAAGAAAAAGAGGAAGACUUUUAUAUAUUGGCACAUGAAGCCCCUUGUGGAUGCAUAUUAGUAAAUGGCAGCAUGGCCGUCAUUGCUAUCAUCCAGAGCAAAGAAGUGGUUAACCAUGCACAUUUAUCACUUCGAAAUGUGGUCGAGAGUUCUUUUGUAGUUUCAUUUUUAAAUGAAGUGGUGCAUUCUCUUUCAAAUGAAGUGGUGUAUUCUUCCAAAAUUGUCUAGUCAUCCAAUAGAGAAGCAAGAACAAAUAUAAUUACCUAUAUAGCUCUUCACAACUUUAUUA